UUGCUGUCCAACCGGGGGAACGGUUGCACCAUAUCCACCAAGACCGCCGUGGAGGUUGGGACCUGAUCCGGCAUAUCCUCCCUGUACGCCGCCAUUCUUAUAAAGUUUUAAAACUACCCAAGAACAAGCCUGCUUAAAUUUCUUUUAAGACAGUUCUGGAAGAGAUAAUUUUUGAUCAAGUUUGGUAUAGCUCUCCUAAAAGGUGACUAUAUAUUUAAAAAACGGAAAAGAUUCUUGGAUUCUGAAGCUUGGGCGUAUUUAAGUGAUUUUAAAAAACUGGCUCCUUAGACCCAAAAUAUGCUAAUAAUAAAUGUAAGAUUGUUUAAUAAAAAAACCAUAUAAGUAGAUUUACAUUUUAAAAACAUUUUUAAAUGUUGAAAUAAUAAAAUUGUAA